rnacentral:rRNA from 1 species
CCUUGUACACACCGCCCGUCACACCAUGGGAGCGGGUUCUGCCAGAAGUAGUUAGCCUAACCGCAAGGAGGGCGAUUACCACGGCAGGGUUCGUGACAGGGGUG